CCGCACCUGUUUCGGAGCCAAAAUCGAAGGGUUUGGAGUGUGAAUUUGGGAAUAAUUCCUUCUCAAAACUCGUAGAGGACCUCGAAAACUAUGAGUAAGUGUUUAAUUUUUUCCAAUUCGAGCACGUGUUAUAGCCUUUUAGGGGUCGGAAUCAGACGACAGUGAAUCUGUCAAAAAACAGGGCAGUUUUGCCUAAUCAUCUUAGGGAGCUGUUUUUAUUAUGUUGGAGUGAUAAUUUAGGUUAUGUGUCUUCUGAAGUUUUGUAUAUUGAGUUGUCAGGUUUGAUUUGGUAUAUUAUUUGGUCAAUUUGGAUAACUCUACAAAUUGUUAUGAUUUUUCAAAGAAGCUGUGACAGCAAACAAGUUUGUCCUAAAGAAUUCUGGCAGUUUUGUGUAUUCAUCUCUUCGGGCUGUUAUUGCUGUGUUAUCUUCGUAAUUUGGGGUUGGUAUCUUCAUCAAAAUUGUAGAUAAAGUUGUGACCUUUUAUUUGGUAUAUUAUUUUCCCAAUUUGGAUAAGCGUAGGGCCUGCUACAAUUUUUGGAAGAAAAUGUGACAACAAAUAACGCUGGCUUUUAGUUUAAUGUCCAUAGUUAGCAUCAAUCUGUGUCAUUAGUUAUUUGAAAUUUGUCUUAUGCACAUUGAGCAACAAGUUUAAAGUAAUGUGAUUGAAAGUGAAGCUUAAGAAACUAAUGGAUUCUUACUUCAGGUGUGUCAUUCGUUGUUGUGUGCCUAAGAAAUUUUUGGUCUAUGGUGCUGCUUUUGGUGCUAACUCGAGGUGAGAAGACUUUGUUAGUUAUUUCUUCAAGUUAUUUACCUAAUUUAUGUGACGCGUUUUAUUUUGAUCAAGUAAUACGCAAAAAACAUUACAGGUGGGAACUGAACGAGAAAAUUGAUUUCAAUUUAAAGAAACUUCUACACAAAAAGGAGAAAACAUUAUUUGCUAUGAUGUGCGAGAAUUAUACAUAACAUCAUAUGAGGGUCUGUUAAGUAAAUUUCUUGGUUGGACGAUAUUGAGUCAGUAUUUGGUAAUGUGUUGAUCUUAUCGUUACAUUUUUUUCUAAAUAUAUUCAGUUCAAUUUUUGUUCUCUCUUUUGUUACUGCAAGAAGCUGGCUUUUUGUUUGACAUGUAUAAAUUUUAACAAAUCAAUACUCUUAUUUCAGAUGGAGCUGAUACAUAAAAUAAUAUUAGAUUAUCGGGUGUUGCUCACGUUUAUACGAGAUUUAUUUGUCGUGGAUCCAGGUAUACUGAAUAUUAUGUACUUUGAUUGCAUAUUUGGUGAUGAGAUAUCAGAGAACAAAGGAAGACUCAAUUUCGGGUGAUAUGAUAUUUAUUAAAGAACAUUUAAUUAUGCUAAGCUUAUCGUAUUUGGUAAUGCAUUGAUCUCAUCGUUACGAUUUUUGCUAAAUAUACUUAAUUUUUGUUCUCUCUUUUAUUAAUGCAAGGACCAGGUUUUUUUGACAUGCAUAAAUUUGAACAAAUCAACACUCUUACUUCAGAUGGAGCUGACAUAGAAAGUAGUAUUAACUUACCGGGUGUUGCUCACGAUUAUAUGAGAUCUAUUUGUCGUGGAUCCAGGUAUACCGAAUGUAACUAGGUUGGUGGUCAAUUGAUGAAGGGAGUCGGGAGGAGCAAGUUCAGCUAUAUUGUGCAUUGGGAUCUAGGCAAUGCAUCACAUUAAACACAUGGACUAGACGAGGUUGGACUGUUUGAUGAAGUGAAAUGAUGAAGUGAAAGAACGUUAUCGUGGAAGUUAUAUUUUAUUAUGAAAUAAUUAUAGGAAUCUUUCUUAUUGUUUGGAAUGAUUGAUUUAUUAUUGUAUUGAGUAUGAUAGAUUGAAAUUAUAAUAUUCACAUUUGAUUGAUAA